UACAGAGGUCCCAAGCGUUGUUCGGAUUCACUGGGCGUAAAGGGUGCGUAGGUGGCCAGGUAAGUUUGGUGUGAAAUCUCGGAGCUUAACUCCGAAACUGCAUUCGAUACUGCCGUGCUUGAGGACUGGAGAGGAGACUGGAAUUUACGGUGUAGCGGUGAAAUGCGUAGAUAUCGUAAGGAAGACCAGUGGCGAAGGCGGGUCUCUGGACAGUUCCUGACGCUGAGGCACGAAGGUCAGGGGAGCAAACAGG
rnacentral:rRNA from 1 species